GACGAACGCUGGCGGCGUGCUUAACACAUGCAAGUCGAACGGAAAGGCCCUGCUUUUGUGGGGUGCUCGAGUGGCGAGCGGGUGAGUAACACGUGAGUAACCUGCCCUUGACUUUGGGAUAACUUCAGGAAACUGGGGCUAAUACCGGAUAGGAGCUCCUGCUGCAUGGUGGGGGUUGGAAAGUUUCGGCGGUUGGGGAUGGACUCGCGGCUUAUCAGCUUGUUGGUGGGGUAGUGGCUUACCAAGGCUUUGACGGGUAGCCGGCCUGAGAGGGUGACCGGCCACAUUGGGACUGAGAUACGGCCCAGACUCCUACGGGAGGCAGCAGUGGGGAAUAUUGCACAAUGGGCGGAAGCCUGAUGCAGCAACGCCGCGUGCGGGAUGACGGCCUUCGGGUUGUAAACCGCUUUCGCCUGUGACGAAGCGUGAGUGACGGUAAUGGGAAAGAAGCACCGGCUCACUACGUG
rnacentral:rRNA from 1 species